UCUCUGCCUUGCCUCGGAAGGACACCAGGCACCGCGCAGUGGCCGCUAUUUUUUUGUACGAUUAAUUGCAAAGAAGUGUUUCUCUUAUUGUUUCUUGUGGCAGCCAGGCAGAUAUAAUCACGAAGGCAGAUGGGGGUGAUAUUGCCGCUCUGCUCCGUUGAGAUCAUGAUCAUUUAAAUGGAUUGCGAGCUAACGCAUUUAUUUCAUAAACACAAAAUCUUCCAGCAUGUCAAAGUUGCAGUUUUGCACCUCAUAUUGACAUUCAAGUAUUGAGCAAUGCAAGAACUGGGUUCCACUAGAGGUUGACUAUAUUAGAGUUGAAAUCUAGGCAAGAGUAGAAGAUGUGAGCCUUUAGAGAAUUGGAUUUGUAAGAUUUUGCUC